rnacentral:lncRNA from 1 species
GCCGCCGCCGCCUCAGCCCGGGCGGGCCCGCGGCGGCCGCGCUUCCGCAGGGCGAGGAGCAGGAACGUGGUGACAGAGCCCAGGGAGCCCCGAGGUGCGAGUUAACCCCCGAGAGGAGGAGAGAGAAGCACCGGUAGAUUCUGUGAACCAUGGUGGAUGCAGAGGACCUGUGAUGAAAGGGCAGUUUCAGAGUGUGCGGCCUGAUACCGUUUGCUGAAGAAAUCAAGGACAGAAGGAGAAAGCUGUAAUGCGACUUUGUGAGUUUUGAUUUGAAUUUUUAGCAUGUUUUUCCUUUCAGGUUAGGAACUAUAUGUGGAAGAUCUGUGA